UGUUAAUGAUGUGGAUAGUCCUAAAGAAGUUCCUUGAAACGCUCCCAUGUAUGACAUAAUUUUUUGUCUGGCUUUUGUUUAAAGCAUACAAUCUCACUGCGAAGUCU
rfam:Capsicum annuum cultivar Zunla-1 chromosome 3, whole genome shotgun sequence